rnacentral:rRNA from 1 species
GAUGAACGCUGGCGGCGUACCUAAUACAUGCAAGUCGAGCGAACGGACGCGAAGCUUGCUUCUCUGAUGUUAGCGGCGGACGGGUGAGUCACACGUGGAUAACCUACCUAUAUGACUGGGAUAACUUCGGGAAACCGGCGCUAACACCGGAUAAUAUUUUGAACCGCAUGGUUCAAAAGUGAAAGACGGUCUUGCUGUCACUUAUAGAUGGAUCCGCGCUGCAUUAGCUAGUUGGUAAGGUAACGGCUUACCAAGGCAACGAUGCAUAGCCGACCUGAGAGGGGGAUCGGCCACACGGGAACGGGGACACGGUCCAGGCGCCUGCGGGAGGCAGCAGUAGGGAAUGGUCCGCAAAAGGCGAAAGCAUUACGGAGCAAGGCCGCGUGAGUUGUGGAGGUCUUCGGAGCGUAAAACUCUGUUACGAGUGAAGAACAUAUGUGUAAGGAACUGUAGAGAUCGUGACGGUACCUAAUCAGAAAGCCACGGCUAACUACGUG